rnacentral:rRNA from 1 species
AGAGUUUGAUUAUGGCUCAGGACGAACGCUGGCGGCGUGCUUAACACAUGCAAGUCGAACGAGACGAUUGAAAGCUUGCUUUUGAAAGUCGAGUGGCAAACGGGUGAGUAACGCGUAGACAACCUGCCGUAAAGAUGGGGACAACAGUCCGAAAGGACUGCUAAUACCGAAUGUUGUGGAACUUCCGCAUGGGAGCUCUACUAAAGAUGGCCUCUACUUGUAAGCUAUCGCUUUACGAUGGGUCUGCGUCUGAUUAGCUAGUUGGUGGGGUAACGGCUUACCAAGGCGACGAUCAGUAGCCGGUCUGAGAGGAUGAACGGCCACAUUGGAACUGAGACACGGUCCAG